rnacentral:lncRNA from 1 species
CUUUUAUUAGGUCAUUUGUCAAAAUACAAAAAGUUUCCAUGGAAAUAAAUUGGAGACAUUACCUUUGGAGCAACCUUCAUAUAAAGGCAUGCAGCCCUCAGCAGGCCUAGACUUCUAUGUCAAGAACUUCAAAACAUUCAAAAAUUUGAAUUGCUUUGUCCAAGCAUCCAUAACCUGAAGGAUGUGGGUAUGUAUAUUUUAGCUAAUAGAUUUUACUGCGUGGCUGAUGAAUUGUGAUGAAAAAAUUUGGCCUAGAAGGAUAAUAUUUUUUCAUAAUUUCUCUGUAUUUACUGAUUUCUAAUGUUAACACAGAAAGUUGAGUAAUACAGCAUGAAAUAUUUUGGCACCAUUUUUAGCAUAGCAUAAAUCAUUAGAAUUUGUUCAAAGCCAUUAAAUACUAAUGUUCAGUAUUGACUAAAAGGUAACAAAACAUAAUGUUCAAAUAAUCUGGCCAUGGCAAAAUGACUUGUAGUUUGCAUUUCCAGUUUUAGUCUCCAUACUAAUCCAGAUUUUCAACGCAAAUUCCUUGAUACUUCUCUGUACUCUGUAAAAAGUUGUGUACAAUGACAAAGCUUAAUAGAAAAUAUUUUCAUUAUUUAUAGGUAUAUCGCUUGUAGUUGUGACAGGUUCAGAACAGUAAAAAUUCUCACAUUGUAACCUUUGCAUAAACUAUUUGCCCAGAAAACAUCUUAGAGUAUUAAUUUGAGUUGGGCACGACUGAUUUAUGUUUAAGACAUGAUACGGUUCUAAGGUAG